GUCUCCGAUGAUGAUGUAUUUAAACAAAUAUGCGUAGCUGCUCAUUGUUGAAGAAGGGAGUG
rnacentral:snoRNA from 1 species